rnacentral:tRNA from 1 species
GCCCGAGUGGUGGAAUGGCAGACACAGUUGACUCAAAAUCAACCGUCCUCAGGACGUGGAGGUUCGAAUCCUCUCUCGGGCA